ACGCCCGGGGAAGGUUUUCCUGCUCUCGGGGGGGCCGGAGCCUCGCGAACCGUGCUUCCCUUCUCCCCACGGUCAAGGGACGGGUUUACGCUGAUCUCCAGGCAAAAACAAACCGGCUUCGCUUUCCACCUCUGUUCGCACAACACGCGGCUGCAGUUUGUUUGUUUUCAUUCUCAAAUAGCCUUUGUGUCCCCUGACAGUUUUCUGCUUGUAAAUAGUCAAGUGUCACAUUCCCUACGUGGAAAACAGGGUUGACAAAAACUUUUUUUUUUUUUUUCCCCUCUUUUUUUUUUUUGCAGCUGUGCUGCAAUUUCAAUUAACAUAUGCCUUGUUUUGCCCCCGGGGAAUGGUGGUGAGAAGAUGAGGAAUAGGGGAACUGUGGCAGAGACCAAUUGCUUCAGCGCUGGGUGGCACCCCCCGCGAAGGAGCCUCGCGCCGCUCCCACCGGCAGCCAGACCAGCUGGAUCCGAACGUGUCACUGCAAAUCCCACGGGUGCCGCCCGCCGAGGGCACAGCCACCCUGCGGCACCGGGCGCGGGGGGCCCCCGAGACCCCCAAGGGCGAGGUGGGAAGCAUUCCCAGUGCCCCCAGCCCCUACAAAGCCCCGGUGCUGCCCAGCCAAGCGCCUCAGGCUGCCGGGGGGGGGAAAUGUCUGGGCUGGAAGUGAGACAAAAAUCGAUAGUCCAUCCCAUUUCAAAUGGUAACUGCCACAGUAACUAGAUAAAAUUUUGCCUGUGUGAUGGAAGAUUAAAUAGAGCCUGGCUGGUGAGUGCUGCUCCAGAGGCUGCUCCCCUCGGGGACCCCAUCCCCUGGGUGCUGGGGUGACCAAAGCCCCCCGGUACCAGGGAGCAGAUGCUGGAGUCUCCACAGGCAGGAGAAAGUCCUGGUCGGGGAGAGAGACGGCCUGAGAUCGAGCACUGAACACCGAGGGAGGCAACAGCUGCCCAGUAAGAUUCCUGGGCCGCUGGGGCUCCCUCUUCAAGCCCGUCGUGUGACCGGUGGGACCCACUCCCUCCACGGGGCACCAGCUCCACGGGGUGUUGGGGGGACCCUCCCUCUGACCAUCCAGC